AACGAACGCUGGCGGCAUGCCUAACACAUGCAAGUCGAACGAGACCUUCGGGUCUAGUGGCGCACGGGUGCGUAACGCGUGGGAACCUGCCCUUAGGUUCGGAAUAACUCCCCGAAAGGGGUGCUAAUACCGGAUAAUGUCUUCGGACCAAAGAUUUAUCGCCUUUGGAUGGGCCCGCGUUGGAUUAGCUAGUUGGUAGGGUAAAAGCCUACCAAGGCGACGAUCCAUAGCUGGUCUGAGAGGAUGAUCAGCCACACUGGGACUGAGACACGGCCCAGACUCCUGCGGGAGGCAGCAGUGGGGAAUAUUGGACAAUGGGCGGAAGCCUGAACCAGCAAUGCCGCGUGAGUGAUGAAGGCCUUAGGGUUGUAAAGCUCUUUUACCCGGGAUGAUAAUGACAGUACCGGGAGAAUAAGCUCCGGCUAACUCCGUG
rnacentral:rRNA from 1 species